UCAAUUUUUAAUUUUCUUUGAAGAGUUGAUUUCCGUACUUAUGAAAUCACUUGAGUUUAUUUGCUUUGUUGAAAUUAUCUGUGGGUAGCUCAUCAACCUGUGGCAGUAGAAAAUCGUUCGACGAUGAGAUCGAUUGGAAUAAUUGUCAUUUUUGCUUGUAUUCUGGCCUAUAUCAGCCAGGCUCAAGGCGAGUGCUGUCGAGCGUCAUUAACUAUAAGUUAUACUGUCAAUGGUGGGAGCUGUGGAGAUGUUGGCGGACACACUGGCAAAAAAGGAUGCACUAUUACGAUAUGUGCCGAUGGUAAACCCCAGGUGGGAACCUUCUGUGGACGUGGAUCGUGUAAUCUCUUUGGCUGUGCCUGCAAAAAAGGUUGCAUUACUGGCGACUGGGAAAAAAGUUUCCGUAGUGUUAAUAAUGGUUGGACCAUAAAUAUUUUCGAUAUGACCUGGAAUACAUAAUGAGAAGUGUGUUAUUUUCUGAGUAUCAAGAAUGAAAUCGAGUAUAUAUUGCAUACAUACAUCCUAAUGACAAUAAAUAAAUGGUAUGUCUGAAUAUAAAUACCAAAUUAUGUAAUUUAA